rnacentral:rRNA from 1 species
AGGAAUACAUAGAUAAUCUGCCUUCGAGUUGGGGAUAACCAGUCGAAAGACUGGCUAAUACCGAAUAAGACCACAGGAUCUGCGGAUCUGGGUUAAAGGUUUUUCGCUUGAAGAUGAGUCUAUGCGAGAUUAGCUAGUUGGUGGGGUAAUGGCCUACCAAGGCGACGAUCUCUAACUGGUCUUAGAGGAUGAUCAGUCACACUGGAACUGAGACACGGUCCAG